rnacentral:lncRNA from 1 species
AUGAGAAAGCAACUUCAAGUGGAGAAUCCUGAAAAUACAAAAAUCUAUAUAAAAGGAGGACUGCAGCCUUAUUGUAGACACACUCACCAAAACAUCAAGCAUGCCCUUCUCCCCCGUGCUUCCUUGUUGGCCUGGCCAGCUAGAAGUAGGGGAUGGAAAUACGGAUGCCACUUCGUGAGAGCACAGUUCUGCAAUCCGCAGUGAACCACUUUCAUUGUUCCUGCCCCACUGGAAGAUUCUGCCAUCAAGCCCAUUCUGUCUACAUCAACAUAGCUCAGAAGAAGAAACUGUCUCAAGGAAGUCCUCAGUGGCCUUCUGAGUGUCACUGCACCUUCUGAAUGCAUACUGUGAGCAUCAACCAGUUGAGAGCGGGGAUGUGCCAACUUUUCACAAAAUUCAAGACAUCACUCAGCAUGCGCUGCUUCAAUUAUAGGCAAGCUCUUCUUAAUAUUUUCACUGAGAUCCAUCAGCUAUUUCUCACUCUCAGUCAUGAAUCAUGACUAAGCACCAGGGUCCAUGGGAAACACAGAUGUGGCUGUUCUUUUGUUGACAUUCUCCUGACACACAGUGCCCAUAGAUAUGAGAAAAGCAAAGAGAGCAGAUGGGCCAAGGAUGACUAGAGCACCUGUUCCCAGGCUUUCAAGGUCUGAACCAAUUUCCCUAGUUGUCUUUCUUUGAGCACUAAGUCUUCUAUGACAUCUGCUAUUCCAUUUCUUAGAUGCAAAGCAAAUUUGAAAUUAAUUGCUACUGUGUGUCUUCAUACAAUAACAUCUACAGGAGAUAUAAAGCAAGACACAGUAUUCCAGGCAUCCAAGGCUUCAACUAUGCAUAACUAGCACAGUCCACAUACUCAGAGCUUGGAAAGAUUACAUGAUGGAUAAGAGCCAUGAUGGCUGGAGCAUUUUGAGAAUUUCAGUCCACAAAGUAUCUUUGUUGAGAUACAAAUAUGCUGUUAGUUUAUUCUUAAUCCAUCCAAUGAUUAAGUCAGGUUGUUUUCAAUAUCAGGAUAUAAUCCUAGAGCAGCGGUUCCCAACCUUGGGUCCUUAGAUGUUUUUGGACUAAAACUCCCAGAAACCUUUACCACUAGUUCUGCUGGCCAAGAUUUCUCAGAGUUGUAGUCCAAGAACAGCUGAGGACCCACGGUUUAGAACCACUGUCCUAGAGCAUAAGAGUGCCUCAGUGCAUAUACAGAGUUAAUUCUCUAUAACACAGUUAUCAAAACAAGCUAUUUUUUGAAGAAACAGCUAUGUAUGUCUGUGCAAGCACAUAAGACAAAAACAAAACAAAGCUUUAAAAAAAAACAUUGUGACUCCUUAAAGACUGGUAUAUUCAAAUGUGAGCUUCCAUGAGUCCACAUUCAUGUCUCAGCAAGGAAAACAUGAUGAGGAAAGUUGACUCGAUCCACAAAAGCUCACACUGAAAUGUAAGUCGAACAGACCAGAUGGAACAAAUCAAAUCAAAUCAAAUAAAACAAAUAAAGUGCCACA